rnacentral:lncRNA from 1 species
UCUGUACUUAUAACAUUUAGUUGUAUCACUCUUUCUUAUUAGAAUGAGGGAAAAGUUGAAGGUAGAGCUAGAAAAUGGAUUUUUCUAGUUUACUCUAAAGAAUUCUGAGUAUAUGUUGUGGGUUUGAAUUCAAAAGGGAUGGAAAAGCACUAAGUAGAGAUGUCGUAUUUAAUGAAGUUGAAAUGUCAUGUUUAAGUACUGAUUCUGAGCAAUUGAUUAAAACCAAUAAGAUAGUGCCCUUGAUUAGUUGCUGAUGGAACUAGAUAAUGUAAAUACACAUGUCCAUAUAAUCUUUGUGAGGUAGAGAUUCAAAUUCAACAAUAUGGAGUCAAAGAAAGAGGUAAAACAAUGGUAGAAUAACAUCCAAUUCAGCCAGAUCCUUUAGUGGACUAUCAAUUGGCUAAGAUAUAGAGAGGAGUUGCAUAAGAAACCUUAAAGGUUUUGUAAUAAUUCUAAAUUUGUUUUUGCUUAUGCUAGUUAUGAAAAAUUAGUUGAUAGAAAAGUGGUGAAAGCAAUCAAAGAAGAUGUUAUAAUUAAAUGAGAAUAUGGCAAUAUAAAAAAU